GAUGAACGCUGGCGGCGUGCCUAAUACAUGCAAGUCGAGCGAACGGACGAGAAGCUUGCUUUUCUGAUGUUAGCGGCGGACGGGUGAGUAACACGUGGAUAACCUACCUAUAAGACUGGGAUAACUUCGGGAAACCGGAGCUAAUACCGGAUAAUAUUUUGAACCGCAUGGUUCAAAAGUGAAAGACGGUCUUGCUGUCACUUAUAGAUGGAUCCGCGCUGCAUUAGCUAGUUGGUAAGGUAACGGCUUACCAAGGCAACGAUGCAUAGCCGACCUGAGAGGUUGAUCGGCCACACUGGACCUGGAACACGGCCCAGACUCCUACGGGAGGCAGCAGAAGGGAAUCUUCCGCAAUGGGCGAAAGCCUGACGGAGCAACGCCGCGUGAGUGAUGAAGGUCUUCGGAUCGUAAAACUCUGUUAUUAGGGAAGAACACAUGUGUAAGUAACUGUGCACAUCUUGACGGUACCUAAUCAGAAAGCCACGGCUAACUACGUG
rnacentral:rRNA from 1 species